CACCACUCGAGUCUGACUCGGUAUUGGGCGCCGCGGUCUGUCCGCGCGCCUCAAAGUCGCCGGCUAGGUGGGUCUGUCCCCGAGCGUUGUGGCCUCACAGUCUCGCUUGGGAGCGCGGAUCCAUCAAGGCCGUUAAACACCCCAUCAAAGG
rnacentral:misc_RNA from 1 species